CUCUUGUCUUGGGUGCACCCUUUGAUUUUACAUCUUGUGACAUUCCAAUCAUACGGAGAUGGUGGACUCCAGAUGGUUUUCUCUGAAAGUGCAGAAACCCUACAAGAGGCCCUUCCAAGUGGAUAACAGGCUACGCUUGUGAGGUAUGUCUCAAAUCU